rnacentral:rRNA from 1 species
GUGGGGAAUUUUGGACAAUGGGGGCAACCCUGAUCCAGCAAUGCCGCGUGCAGGAAGAAGGCCUUCGGGUUGUAAACUGCUUUUGUACGGAACGAAACGGUCCUGGUUAAUACCUGGGGCUAAUGACGGUACCGUAAGAAUAAGCACCGGCUAACUACGUGCCAGCAGCCGCGGUAAUACGUAGGGUGCAAGCGUUAAUCGGAAUUACUGGGCGUAAAGUGUGCGCAGGCGGUUUUGUAAGCCAGGCGUGAAAUCCCCGGGCUCAACCUGGGAAUGGCGCUUGUGACUGCAAGGCUGGAGUGCGGCAGAGGGGGAUGGAAUUCCGCGUGUAGCAGUGAAAUGCGUAGAUAUGCGGAGGAACACCGAUGGCGAAGGCAAUCCCCUGGGCCUGCACUGACGCUCAUGCACGAAAGCGUGGGGAGCAAACAGGAUUAGAUACCCUGGUAGUCC